rnacentral:rRNA from 1 species
ACCAGUACCGUGAGGGAAAGGUGAAAAGCACCCCGGGAGGGGAGUGAAACAGUACCUGAAACCGUGCGCCCACGAGCAGUCGGAGCACCCUUGUGGUGUGACGGCGUGCCUUUUGUAGAAUGAGCCAGCGAGUCGCUGGCGCGGGGCGAGGUUAACCGAGAGGGAGCCGGAGCGAAAGCGAGCCUUAACAGGGCGACUUGAGUCCCGCGCCGCGGACGCGAAGCCGGGUGAGCUAUCCGUGGGCAGGCUGAAGCGGGGGUAAGACCCCGUGGAGGGCCGAACGCACGUCGGUUGAAAACGGCGGCGAUGACCUGCGGAUAGGGGUGAAAGGCCAAUCAAACCCGGAGAUAUCUCGUUCUCCCCGAAAUAGCUUUAGGGCUAGCGUCGCGCGUUCACCGCCGGAGGUAGAGCACCGGAUGGACGAGGGGGCUUCGCCGCCUACCGAAUCCAACCGAACUCCGAAUGCCGGCGGCCCAGAGCGCGGCAGUCAGAGCAUGUGGGCUAAGCUGUGUGCUCGAGAGGGAAACAGCCCGGACCGCCCGCUAAGGUCCCCAAGUUCCAGCCGAGUGGCAAAGGAUGUGCGUCCGCCCAGACAACCAGGAUGUUGGCUUAGAAGCAGCCAUGCAUUCAAAGAGUGCGUAACAGCUCACUGGUCGAGUGGACAUGCGCCGACAAUACACGGGGCUAAGCUGGACACCGAAGCGGCGGGAUUUUGAUUUUCAGAAUCGGUAGGGGAGCUUCCCAUGGGCGGGGAAGCCGCCGGGCGACCGGCGGUGGAGCGCAUGGGAGUGAGAAUGCUGGCAUGAGUAGCGAGAGACGAGAGAGUAACUCGUCCGCCGUGAACCCGAGGUUUCCUGGGCAAGGCUAAUCCUCCCAGGGUCAGUCGGGGGCUAAGGCGAGGCCGGGAGGCGUAGCCGACGCGCAGCAGGCAGACAUUCCUGCACCGCGCACGCGGCGCUACGACCGACGGGGCGACGGAUGGGGGUGGCUCGGCGGGGUUCUGGACGUCCCCGUGAUGGAGCGCGGCCCGCGGACCAGGGAAAUCCGGUCCGCAGAAGGGCGAGGCUCCGGACGAAGCGACUGAGCGAAGCGAGUGAGCCCGAGGUCCCUAGAAAAACCCCUAGGCAGGCGCGUGCGCGCCCGUACCGCAAACCGACACAGGUGGGUGGGUAGAACAUACCGAGGCGAUCGGGUCAACCAUGGUCAAGGAACUCGGCACAAUGGCCCCGUAACUUCGGGAGAAGGGGUGCCCGCGCGUACGUGAACCGGCUUGCCCGGGGAGCGGAGGCGGGCCGCAGUGGAGAGGCCCAAGCGACUGUUUACCAAAAACACAGGACUCUGCAGAAGCCGCAAGGCGACGUAUAGGGUCUGACGCCUGCCCGGUGCCGGAAGGUCACGCGGAGGGGUUAGCCGCAAGGCGAAGCCCCGAAGCCAAGCCCCGGUAAACGGCGGCCGUAACUAUAACGGUCCUAAGGUAGCGAAAUUCCUUGUCGGGUAAGUUCCGACCUGCACGAAAGGCGCAACGACUUGGGCGCUGUCUCGACCAUGGACCCGGUGAAAUUGCACUGGUCGUGAAGAUGCGACUUACCCGCGGAAGGACGGAGAGACCCCGUGAACCUUCACUGCAGCUUGGCAUUGGCCGCUGGUCCCGCGUGUAGAGGAUAGGCAGGAGGCAUCGAUCCGGAGGCGCCAGCCCCCGGGGAGCCGCCCUUGGAAUACUGCCCUCGCGCGACCGGCGUCCUAACCCGAGGCCGUCGACCGGCUCGGGGACCGUGCCAGGCGGGCAGUUUGACUGGGGCGGUCGCCUCCUAAAGGGUAACGGAGGCGCGCGAAGGUCCGCUCGGGACGGUCGGCAACCGUCCUUUUGAAUGCAAGAGUACAAGCGGGCUUGACUGCGAGGCCCACAAGCCGAGCAGGUGCGAAAGCAGGCUCUAGUGAUCCGGCGGCCCCGAGUGGGUGGGCCGUCGCUCAACGGAUAAAAGGUACUCCGGGGAUAACAGGCUGAUCUUGCCCAAGAGUCCACAUCGACGGCAAGGUUUGGCACCUCGAUGUCGGCUCAUCGCAUCCUGGGGCUG